AGGCAUGUCUAAGCACACCAUCUAGUGUCUACUGACAGAACUGCAGUCGCCGCCAACUGUUGCGUCGGCUCUACAUUAUCGAAGAAUCAAGUUAGGUUCUAUUUCAUGUAUGACGAGCUUUCAAAUGUUAUUACACAGACAGUGGUGUCAUUCUUUUUUUUCAUAAUGUAAAGCUGUCCACCCCUUCCCCAACUUGGCAGCAAUUUGGCCAUGUGUGGGGAAACUCAUUGACCUACAGGCUAUUCAAGGUCUUGUCUGAUUAUUUUCACUCUCCUGCAGGUGGUGGUUGCCGGUGGCUGGUGCUGGUGAUGGUGGAUGCGGCUGAUGGUGGAUGCGGCUGAUGGUGGAUGCGGCUGAUGGCGGUGGCUGCUGCUGCUGGUGGCUUGAGCUGGCUGGUGCCGGCAAACACUGCUGCUGCUGGUCGCUGCUGCUUGAGGCGAUGGCUGCAUGAGCUGGCUGGUGGUGGCGAAGGAUGGUGGUGUCGAUUUCUGCUGCUAGUGGUGGCGGCUUGUGCUGGCGACGGCUGUUGGUGGUGGCGACUGCCGGUGGCUGCUGGUGGUGGUGGCGGCGGCGACGGCUGCGAUUGUUGUUCUUCCUUUCGACCUGAUGCACUUUGCUAUCCUUAACCUCAGCCUGAUGUAUGUGGAGUAUUUUCUUUGUUUAUUAAUAACUUAUAAUAUUCCUCCCUGUUCCUUCACUUUGUUCUUGUUUUACAAGUGAGAUAUAUAUGCACACCUGGUUACACAUUUGUUGUUCUGGUUCCACACAUGAUUAAAUUUGUUUUAUUUAUUGAUACCCCCUGGCUCUACUUUGCUGUUUUGUUCACACUUACUUCAUGUUUCUUUCGUUGUUCUUAGUCAUACUUGUUCCCACUUGUUUUUGGUUCCACAAACCUCAGCCUGAUAUAUGUGGGGAGGAUUUUUUUCUAAACACGCAUCUGAAACACUGGGUCCAGCUUUACAUGGUGCAACCUCCUUUGCAGCGUGCAGAUGUUAGGCAGUGAAUCUGCAUUUGCUGGAGGGUUUUAUAACCAGUGGUCCAUUUUAUUUAGUUGUCUUGCCUUCUCUUUGGAUUGAAUGGCUCUUCUGCUCCCAACGUAGAGCUCUCCUUCUGCAGUGAACAUUCAUCAAAGAACUUUCAUCAUUAAAGAGCUAUCUUACCAAGA